AGGCGUGCCCGUACAGAAGGUCGUGUUGUUGUUAUUUAAGAGUCCAUGUAAAGGCGGGCAAGGCUCCAAUGCAGUGGAACGUCGCAUUGAAGUAGGAUGUAUUAAAUCAACUUUACAAAAUCGAAAGUCCUGCGAGUUCGUGUUCGACAAUCCUAAAGAGUGCAACGAGAAGGGCUUCAGUUUUGACCCGAUCAAAUCUAGCGUGGAGACUGGGAACAAGAAAGAUAUCGUGUUUCGAUGGCAGCCAGCCGCUGACCAGGAUCCAAGUACCGUGGUCAAUUGUUGUACUGUGAUUACAGUCAAAGGUGAAGUGAUGACGCAAUAUAAAGUUUUAUUGAGAGGUUUUAUUGUUUCUGAAGAUUAAGGUCAGUCCAUUUAUAAUAUUUAUAUAUGUACAUAGUCUCCCACUGACCUUUGUUUGUGACUGGAGUUCGCGGACCUUGUCCUUGUAUCACAUGUACAGUUCUGGGACAAAAUGCAUUCAUUGAAAAUUCGGAGAGAAAAACGUUUGUGCGGAUUUAUAAAUAUGUAUAUGUUGAUGAAAUAUAUUAUUUAUUGAACAAUGAACAAAGUUUUGAACUAACUAGCGAAUAUUCUUAAACAGGAUAUUUUAUACAUUUUUAGACCUAGAGCAGAAAAAUGCAAUUAUAAGCCCUCAGGUAUGAAUCGAACCUACGGCUCUGUGAUUCCAAUGCAGCGCUCUAAUCAACUGAACUUUAACCACCAGUACACCUUACACUUGAUGCCAGUGUAAGGUGUAUGGGGGAAAGAUGAGGAUUUGGGGGAUCUCACUUGAUACAACUAAAUGUUGAGGGGUAAAUUUUGAGUAUAAAUGAUAUACAUUUUAAGGGCCUGUUCGUAUGGGCAAAAGUUAUCCCGGUUAGCUUAGCGAGAAAACUUCUCGACUAGCCAAAUACUUUUGUUCUGUUCAUAUGGAAAAACAUUGUCCAGCUUACCGGGUAAAGUUUCUGGCUGUGACGUAGCACUGAACAUGAAUUGAAUUGAAAAGACACGACAAAGUUAUCCCGCUAAGCGGGAAAGUUGUGUUCAUAUGGGAAAAAACAUCCCGGUCACCAAGAUCUCGCCUGUCAACGAGCGAGAUCUCGGUACACGGGAAAACUUUCGUCUCAUAUGAACGCAGUGUAACUUUUCAUAUUAUUUUCAUACGAAGGCGAGAUCUCGCUUGUGAACUUGUCGAAAAGUUUCCUCGCUAACCGGGAUAACUUUUGCCCAUAUGAACAGGCCCUAAAUUUUUCACAGCUGCUCCUAGUCAGCUCUAAAAAUGUAUUAAAUGAACACUUUCAUCGACAAAAAAAACCUUCAACACUUUAGGUUUAUCGAGUGGGAUGCAUAAGAUGCUUAGAAAGAUAAAUAGUUUGGGGUCUUAAAAUGAUUUACAUUCACGAGAAUUCAUUCUACAACAUGUCUGAAGUGUGGCGCUUGACCAUCUGCUACAAAAUAAAUACAAGCUAUUUUUGAUCUUUUUUUUGUUUUAUUGCGACAGUUUUGAGUAUUGGAGAAAAAUAUUUAGAUUAUCAAGGAUAUCUUGAGAGGUUUAAUGCAUUUAGUUGUUUCAUAAAGUAAAGGUCAUGUUAAUAAUAGACUCAUUGCGGCGUUCCUUAGCCAUUUCAAGUAGAAUGGGAGGGGGAGGUGACGUCCAUUUGUUAAACACCAAGUCUGUUUCCUCAAACAUUUCCUACGAAUCUUUCAAAACUUACAAUUUACCUAUGCAAAAUUCCUACUGUGAUCACAGAAACUUUGACACUGUAAACCAGG
rnacentral:lncRNA from 1 species